rnacentral:rRNA from 1 species
UAAUACAGAGACCCCGAGCGUUGACCGGAUUUAUUGGGCGUAAAGCGUGCGCAGGCGGUUUCGUAAGUCAUUUGUUAAAUCUUCAGGCUCAACCUGGAGACUGCUGGUGAUACUGCGAAACUAGAGUACGGGAGAGGUAGGCGGAAUGCCCGGUGUAGGGGUCAAAUCCGUUAAGAUCGGGUAGAACACCAAAUGCGAAAGCAGCCUACUGGAACGUAACUGACGCUGUUGCACGAAAGCGUGGGUAGCGAAUGGGAUUAGAUACCCCAGUAGUCCACGCCGUAAACGAUGAGUGCUAGGUAUUGGGAGUCUCGACCCUCUCAGUGCCGUUCAACCAAGCUAACGCGUUAAGCACUCCGCCUGGGGAGUACGGCCGCAAGGCUA